rnacentral:rRNA from 1 species
AACGAACGCUGGCGGCAGGCCUAACACAUGCAAGUCGAGCGGACCCUUCGGGGUUAGCGGCGGACGGGUGAGUAACGCGUGGGAAUAUGCCCUUCUCUACGGAAUAGUCCUGGGAAACUGGGGGUAAUACCGUAUACGCCCUUUGGGGGAAAGAUUUAUCGGGGAAGGAUUAGCCCGCGUUGGAUUAGGUAGUUGGUGGGGUAAUGGCCUACCAAGCCGACGAUCCAUAGCUGGUUUGAGAGGAUGAUCAGCCACACGGGGACUGAGACACGGCCCAGACCCCCCCGGGAGGCGGGAGUGGGGAAUUUUAGAAAUGGGGGGCAACCCGGAACUACCCAUGCCGGGUGGGUGAUUAAGGCCUUAGGUUUGAAAAGCCCUUUCAGCGGGGAAGAUAAUGGCGGUCCCAGCAAAAAAAGCCCCGGCUAACUCCGU